rnacentral:rRNA from 1 species
AUUGAACGCUGGCGGCAGGCCUAACACAUGCAAGUCGAGCGGAUGAAGGGAGCUUGCUCCUGGAUUCAGCGGCGGACGGGUGAGUAAUGCCUAGGAAUCUGCCUAGUAGUGGGGGAUAACGUCCGGAAACGGGCGCUAAUACCGCAUACGUCCUGAGGGAGAAAGUGGGGGAUCUUCGGACCUCACGCUAUCAGAUGAGCCUAGGUCGGAUUAGCUAGUUGGUGGGGUAAAGGCCUACCAAGGCGACGAUCCGUAACUGGUCUGAGAGGAUGAUCAGUCACACUGGAACUGAGACACGGUCCAGACUCCUACGGGAGGCAGCAGUGGGGAAUAUUGGACAAUGGGCGAAAGCCUGAUCCAGCCAUGCCGCGUGUGUGAAGAAGGUCUUCGGAUUGUAAAGCACUUUAAGUUGGGAGGAAGGGCAGUAAGUUAAUACCUUGCUGUUUUGACGGUACCAACAGAAUAAGCACCGGCUAACUUCGUG